rnacentral:lncRNA from 1 species
ACAGAUCCUGCUACAAGAGCUGCACCAGAAUCCAAUUCAUUUUCUGAGUCAUAUGAUAAAGUCAAGUCGCAGCAUUCUACAAACAUUUCUCCAUCAGCAUCAAAUAUCCCACUAUCGCCUCCUUCGAACAUGUCACCACCACCUCAAUAUCCUACUGAUGACGCUUACCACCAGCCACCUCACUAUCCUACUGAUGACUCUUACCACCAGCCACCUCAAUAUCCUAAUGAUGACUCCUACCACCAGCCACCUCAAUAUCAUAAUGAUGACACUUACCACCAGCCACCUCACUAUCCUACUGAUGACUCUUACCACCAGCCACCUCAAUAUCCUAAUGAUGACUCCUACCACCAGCCACCUCAAUAUCAUAAUGAUGACACUUACCACCAGCCACCUCACUAUCCUACUGAUGACUCUUACCACCAGCCACCUCAAUAUCCUACCGAUGACACUUACCACCAGCCACCUUCAAGCAACAGAACAGAACAUUCUCCUUAUUCUCAUCAGCCGUAUCAUCCUCCACCCUACCAUCAAGAACCAAAGCAGCACUUACCGCAACAGUACCAUCCUCACGACGUUCCCCCAUACUCAUAUCCUAAUUUC